GUUAUAUUCGCGCGACGACCUAUUCGCAAGCUCAGUCUAUUGCUCGACCACCAAACCCGACCGCCGUGGGAGUGCCGUAAAAGCAAAAGCGAAAAAAUUAAAAGAGGAAAAGACGACUACAAACGCACAGCGGAGCUUGUUUCCAACUUCUGCGGAUUCAGAUUGGCGCGUCGCAUCAUCACCGUCACUUGAACGCUGCCGUAAGCUCUCGCUGCCCAUGUGAUCUAACGUUCGCAAGAGGGACGAAAAAAAAUCCACGAAGAAGAAGGACGAAGAGAAGCGUACGCGCACAAAGAUUACAAAAGAAGACCAAAAAAAAGAAGGAAGAUGAAGUCAGUCUAUUGUCUACUGUUUGUUGUGUUGUCCACGUAUCUCGUUGAGAUCGAGGCGGAACGCCCAGCAGUUUGCCGCGAAGGAUCAGUCGCUUAUUGCAAACACAUGCAGACAGCCAAAGCUUGCGGAAAACUGCGCUUCUGCCAAAUGGUCUGGGAUCCGCCGGCAGGUUUCCAAGUGAUCAAGAACGGCAAUCACUAUCAGAUCCUCAACCCCAACAUCGGCUUCAUCCACGUGGGUUAACAACUCCAACAUUUUUGUUCUUGGCCGACUGCACUGUUGCAUUUAUUGUAUACUCCAAUCAUACCUGCUGUACUGAUAUAUUUUAACGUCACACCUUAUAUUAUAGUUUAUAAUGGGUAAUAAAUAA